UGGGGAAUUUUGGACAAUGGGCGAAAGCCUGAUCCAGCAAUGCCGCGUGUGUGAAGAAGGCCUUCGGGUUGUAAAGCACUUUUGUCCGGAAAGAAAUCCUUGGCUCUAAUACAGUCGGGGGAUGACGGUACCGGAAGAAUAAGCACCGGCUAACUACGUGCCAGCAGCCGCGGUAAUACGUAGGGUGCAAGCGUUAAUCGGAAUUACUGGGCGUAAAGCGUGCGCAGGCGGUUUGCUAAGACCGAUGUGAAAUCCCCGGGCUCAACCUGGGAACUGCAUUGGUGACUGGCAGGCUAGAGUAUGGCAGAGGGGGGUAGAAUUCCACGUGUAGCAGUGAAAUGCGUAGGAGAUGUGGAGGAAUACCGAUGGCGAAGGCAGCCCCCUGGGCCAAUACUGACGCUCAUGCACGAAAGCGUGGGGAGCAAACAGGAUUAGAUACCCUGGUAGUCCACGCCCUAAACGAUGUCAACUAGUUGUUGGGGACUUCAUUUCCUUAGUAACGUAGCUAACGCGUGAAG
rnacentral:rRNA from 1 species